GAAAUAGUAAAAGGAAUCCAAUAACAAAAGUGAUAACCACAUUUAUUGAAUAAAGAAACCAAAACCCUUUUUGGCAGUUCAAAUCAACAGGGAAGAAGCAAUAUCCACAAUCAACACAACCAAAAGCCAUAGGGAAGGCUAUAUCACAAAAAACACCAGCAUUUCAUAACACAUACAUUAUGGCGGCACAACCUAAUUCAAUACAUAUACAAACAUUGUUGCAGCGGUAACCCAAUCCCAUGGCCAUACUAUUUAUGUAGCGAUCAACCUGAUCCUUAUCAUAAUGUUAUUGCGGCCGCAUCCCUAUCCAACAUAUCAAUUUACACGAAAUUAUCCAACAAUACAUUCAAAUAUAGCAAAAUUCAUAUCAACUAUCGAGGAGGACGAAAUAGCAUAAUUCGCUAAGGAAAUGAUGGACAUGAACAAAAAGAAAUGGCAAAUUCCACGUUUUAGAGCUAAUCUUAGUCAAACAAGGAUCCAAAUCAAGGUUAAUAACAUGCAAAUGAUCAAAUAGUUGCACAAUCCAAUACCAUGUAGAAGAACGACGCAUGAAACUAGUAAAGGCAUACGACAAGUAACAAGUAAAUUUAUGUAGCAUGUAAAGGUAUAUAACAGGUAAAAGCAUGUAACGUGUAGCAACUAAAACUAUGAAUCAAGUAAAAAUAUUUAAGGAGUAAAAACACGAAAUAAGUAAAGUCAUUUAACAAUUAAAAGCAUGAAAUAAUUAAGCAAAUACUUGAAUAAACUACUCACCCCUGCAUGCUUUUAGCCCUUGGUAAUGCAUAUGCACUUAUUACUUUGUAUAUAUGCAGUCCCAACAUAUGGGACAUAUAUCAAUUAGACCAAUCACACAUAAUUCUGUCAUAUCAAGGUUAACAACCAUACUUACCUCUUCCCGAAACUAAAUCAAUACUCCACUACAAUUUUGCCUUUAGCACAAGCCUUCAAACAACUCGAGUCUUGUCAAAUAAUAUAUAAAUCAGUCAAAAAAAGUUAUAGAAAUUACCCUAGUAUCAAAAAGAUUCAACCUUUAACAUAUUUAGAAAAGUCAAUAAGAAGUCAAUCCGAGCUCACACCAUCAAAAUCUAAACCUAAGACCUAAAUCCCGAUUCCCCAUUCUCUCUCGAGUCCAUUGUGAUUCAAAUUGAGGUCCGAAAUACCAAUUAGCCAUCAUAAAUUUUUCUCCAAAACUCCAAUUUUACUCUUUAAAAUACUAGAUUUAGGGAUAAAUUUAUGGGUAUUUAUGAAAAUAAAUGAAUACUAGGUAAAACAAAUACUAACCAAAGAAGUUAGGGUGAGAAUCACUUUAAAAAUCUCCUCAAUCUGUGAUCUAGGUCUCGAAAAAAGUGGCUAAAUCCCGAUUUUCAUCCUUUAUAUACCCUGGCAUCAGGUUCUCUUCGCGUUCGUGAAGCACAUGCCACAUUCGUAAAGACUUUGGCCAACUAGACAUUGCGUUCGUGAAAGCCUCCUUGCCUUCACGAAGGCAUCGCCCCUCUCAAGCCUCCAUGUUCGCGAUCCACUUGUGACGUUCAUGAUAAAUAACCAUCUGCCACCACUCGAAAGCCCAUGCCUACGUGUUCGCAUGAAGUCUAUCGCUUUCGCAGAAGGAAACUCCCCCCAGGACCUAGUGCUCAGUAGCUUUCCCUCACGUUCGCAUAGUGUAAAUCACUAUUGUCCCAAUUUCCCCUUUGCGAUCACGAGCUUAGCUGCAUGUCCGCGAUGCACAAUGCACCAUCAACACAUUAGUUGUUGCAAAUUGUACAAAAAUGGCUAGAAACCAUCUCGAAACUCAUUCGAGUCCCUUGGGUUCCAAUUAAAAUAUUCACACAAGUAUACCAACUACAUACAAACUCGCUCAUGAUCUCGAAACACCAAAUUGAUAGCAAGAUCAAGAAUCACGCACCAAACUCAACGGUUUCAAAGUUCGGAAAACUUUUAUUUUUUAACUUUUCACAACAAGUGCCGAAAUGGCCUCAUGACACCGGAGACCCUAACUAAACAUGUGCACAAGUUCAAAAGUAUCAUAUGAACCUACCAAAAUCGCCAAAAUGCUGAUCCGAUAUUGUUUACCAAUAAUAUAGUUAACUCUAACCAUUUUCAAGUUCACAAAUCAAGUUUUCUUUGUGAAAUCACACUUAAACUCUCUAGAAAAUAGAUGGACCACCCACGCAAGUAAUAAAUCAUCAAAUAAUGCUAUAUAAGGUUUCAAAUUCUGAAAUGAGAAGCUAGAACUCAAAAUGAUAUGUUUGGGUUUCACGUUCUCCACCUAUAAAAGAAAUGUUCAUCCUCGAAUGAACAUAGAAAUGUACUUGAACUUGUAAAGAGAUACAAAUAGAUACUCCUCAUACCGGACUCAAACUCUCAAGUUGCCUUUUCAUCGCCUGAUCUCCCCAAAGUACUUUCGUAGAAGAAAUAUCUAUAGGCCUCAAUUUUUAAACCUACUGAUCUAGAAUAGCUACUGUCUCUUCUUUAUAAGUCAAGUCCUCAUCAAGCUACACCGUGAGAUGCAUAGUAGGAUCACAUAAAUUAUAAAUAAACUAAUAUCUCUUGUAGAAGUUAUUUCUCCUAAUAAAAUUGUGAAAGAAAUCUGAGCAUAUUAUCCUUUCAUGGGUACAAGGUCAAUGCAAUUGCUGAAGCAGAAAACUAGAACAUGACGACUCUUGAUAAUCUCAUUAGAAACUUGGAAACUUAUGAGUUAAAACUCAAUCAGGAUCAUCUAGAUCGACAAUUUGUUGAACCUCACAAGGCCAUGAACAAGGUUUUAAGACCACUUAGAAGAAGGAUAUUGAAGAAGAUGAUAUGGCACUGCUUACCAGACGUUUCCAACGAGCAAUAAUAAGAGGUGGAUUUUUGAAGAAAGAUAGUUCAUCUAACCUAAGGUUGUAGAGGAAAAAACACUGAUAAAUGAUGCAAGUAUGGAAAAAAAGGGACAUUUCAUUAAAGACUGCCCCUUCUGUGGAGCUGGACGGAAGAGGAAUAAUCCUGGAAAAAAUAGUAGAAAAGAGACCGGGCUCCCAAAAAUAGGAUGACAAAUAAGUUUAUGGACAAAAUUAUGAAAGGAGUUACGGUUUCUAUGCAAUCAUCUUCAACUAAUGAGUCUGAUGAUGAUGAUGACGUUGAUGAUGAUGACGAUGACGAUGAAGAUCAAUCAUUGAUGGCAAACAAGAUCUUCUGGUAUUAAUGGAAAAUUCAGACUCUAAUGCUGAUGAGGAAGAAGAACCUAAUGAAAUAUUUCAAGAUAUCAAAAAUAAAAUUUACACCUACUCUAAAAAAAGAUUAAUUUCCUCGUCUGUUGUCUUGAUGGAUGCAUACUAAAAGAUUUCUGAUAAAAAAGGAACAAUUAAUGAACGAUUAUGCAUCAUUUAGGUUUGAGCACAAAGAUUGGGAGAUAAGUAGAUAUAAUCUUGAAUACUUUGUAGUUAAUCUCAAGGAAUAUAUUCUUGCGUUAGAAGAUUAAAAUGCUGCCAUAGAAACUGAGAAUAAUAAAUUGUUCAGUGCCCCCAAUAAGAAUAAAGACUUAGCCAUUGAUAUUGAGGAGAAACGAUAGAGUGAACAAAACUAAGCUACUUAAAAACUUCUAUGAUUCUUAAAAGGUUAGGAUGCUGGAAGAAAAUCUGGAUAAGGCUAAGUUUGAAUUAGAAGAACUUAAAGUGGACUAGGUCUUCCCAAGUAAUAUUUAAGAUACAUAAGAACUAUAGUAGUAACAAAAGGGGUUUAGGACAUAUUGAAACUAAAAUUCCAUGUAAUCCUCAUAAUAAGUAUGUAGACGUUCCUGACAAUUGCUUCUUCACUCAUUGUGGUAAUUAUGGAUAUGUCAAAUAAAUAUGCAUAGCUAGAAGUCCGAAAAGUAAAGUAAUGAAAUCUGGUUCUUCAUUAAUAAGUGAAAAACUAUUAGGGUGGACUAAGAAAAAUGUUAUUCAUUAUUUUACUUAAAGACAGGGACCCAAGCUUAUAUGGGUUCCUAAAGCUAACCCCUGAAUAUUUUUGCAGGUAAGGUAAAAGGAAGCAACAAUUGGUGGUAUAUUGAUAGUGGUCGCUCCGCCACAUGACUGGAAAUGGAGAUACUUUUCUCUCACUAAUAGCCUAUCAAUGAGGGAGUGUGGGCAUCAAAAAUGGAAAAAAGUAAUAUUAUCAAUAUAGUUAAGGUUGGUACGUCUAGUCACACCUCCUUUUUUCGCUAUACACCCCCGCAAAGGAGCGUAAAGGAGUUUUUCCAAUUAGAGGACAAUCGGAACAGGAUUUGGUUAUUAAUUAUUCAGAGUCGCCACUUGGGAGAUUAAUGGUGUCCCAAGUCACCGAUUUGAAUCCCCAACCGAGGAAGAUUAUGACUAUGUUACAGUCUGCGAACCAGAAAUCCGAUUAAGGAAUUCUGUUAACUCGGAAGAAGGUGUUAGUCCGAGUUCCGUGGUUCUAGCACGGUCGUUUAACUGUUGUAUUUGAUUUUAUCUGAUUCUAAUGCAUGCUAACUUAUGUGCUUUUAUUUGUGUACCACUUUUACCAUUAUUUAUUUUAAAAGACAUGCGACGUCGUGAAAACGUAUUUCUAAUCACGUCACCACCAGUGUACACGUGAUCGUCGACACGUUUCUACUUCAUCGAGAUUUGGAUUUGGGACGUAUCAGUGCACACCCGAGUUUAAGAAAGUAAUUUAAUUAAAUCGUGCUUAAAGGUUCUAGCAUAAUAUUAUUUGGGGAAGGCCGUGAAAUUCGCUAAACGGCCCUCCCGAGUUCUAAAUUAAUUCUUAUAAUUAUUUACUGAGGGCCGCGCUAUUGUUUUGUUUGGCGAGGCUCGUCUCAUUAGUUAUUAAAAGGCCAACCUAACAGAGUGAAUACAACUUCAUAUUUCUAGUUUGUCUUUACACGUAAUAGAAGAAGAAAAUCUAGUUGAUUAUUAUUGAAAAGUUGUCGAUUAGGCAACACCGGAUUAGAUGUCUUCCUGGCCUUGGGCCUAAAUAGCCUGAUCAACACGAGAAUGACAGGCUUGUACAAAAUUCCCCAAUUACUCACAUGUUGGGCCCAAAAUCAGCCCAGGCCGAAUGAAAUUAGCUGGACCUCAUGAAAGAGGUCAAGAGUUACAGGAAUUGCUUGAUUAGGGUUUUAUCCGGCCCACUUUUUCACCUUUGGGUGCUCCUGUCUUGUUUGUAAAGAAAAAGGAUGGUUCCAUGCGAUGACUCUAAUUGCAAAAACUCACGCAACAACAACGACGCACCGCAAUGACCAUACAUACCUUCAUUAUAGUUGCUAGACAUGAACUCCAAAACUUCUAAAGUAAUUUAUCAGACUAUUUAUCCAUUAUGGAUUACUGAUUUUAAUGAGAUGAUUCGCUAUGGGUAAGCCUUUUGUCUUCCUGACCUUUAACUGACUUCAAAGCUAAUUUACCAUUAACAUUACACUAGCAUGAUCCAUGAUAAAUCUACAAGCAAUCUACAAUUUAUGAAUUGAAAUACUACUAUAAAGUGACUACCCUUUUAACAUGAUACUUACCCAGCUCCAAUACCACAGGUGACCACAAAGAUCAUAUGAACCUUUGAAUUUAUUCAACAGCCCAAUUAAACAAACCCAUUGAACUGACUACAUUUUAAGUUAUUCCAAGGAUCCAAUGCCACAAUUCAACACUAUACCACAUUUAACAGAUAACCCAUUUUAAUUAUACACUUAAUCAACAUCUAUAUAAAAGGAAAACAGAACAAUAAACCCCUAGAACAUUUCAUUUCAAACUUCAACAAGCUUACAUCAAUAUGGUUCAGGGUAGUGUACCUGGGAAUACAAUGAAAAGAGGAGAGGAAAAGAAUAAGCAGCAACACAUUCAACAGUGACGAGAAAAAAACCAGAACACAGUCCAGGAAUGAGCAAACUCAACCAAAAUAAGCCUCUAUAUACGUGAAAUCUACCCAAGAGCUUGAAAAACCCAGCAGCAAACAGCAAAACAAACCCAAGCAAACUGAUAACCCAGAAAUUGUUUGAACUCAACUAUGCAUAACAGAGAAACUUCAGCAAUGAGAAGAGAACCAGAAAUGCAAAUUAUGAACUAGAGUAUCAAAAUAAACUUACAGCUCUAAUGAAAUAGUAUAUUUUGGUAUUUUAUGAAGAGUUUUUGUUGUUUUUGAUUUUUGUAUGUAUUUGUUUUGUAUUUUUCUGUAUAUCUGAAUGCUGAAGCUAAUUUAGGACUAGAAUGAAAGAAGAAAUCAGAUUUGUUUAUGAUAUUUUUAGCUUAAAAGCUCUGCCCCCUUUCACAAGGCAUUUAAUGCCUUUAUAUAGACAAGAAUGAGGGCAAAGGGUCAGAUUUUCCAUUUGCACCAUUAGUCGCUAGUUAUUUACAGCUUUUAACCUCAAUUUCUAACAUGUUCUUCAAGUUGCUCCCUAAGUUUUCAGAAAUGUGCACUAAGGCCCUAUUCUAUGAGCUUCUAGGAUGCUCUUUAGGCUACACAAUUCCUAGAAUACCCUCAUCUUUGUUUUAAAAAUUACUAUUCUUCAAAAUCCUACCCUUUUCUCAUGCCCAAACUGCCCCUGAAACCCCCUGAAAUUACUAACCAUACUGAUUCACUGACCCACCCUUUUGUCCCCUGUUAAAUAUUAACUAAGGUUAUCUAAAUAGUUAUGGCCAAUCUCACAAACAAGCAAUCGACCCCCAAACUGAAUUCAGAAGCACACAACAAAGAAAUAGAGAAAAUUCCUAAAUCAGUAUCCUAUUAGACAAUUGCAAAAAUUAAUUAAGCUAACAUCUAAUUAACGAUUAAGCAUAUAAACUAACAAAGAAUCAACACCAAUUCAGAAUUUAAAUAGAAGACUAAUACGAAUUAACCUAUUGAUUUUAACAAUCACAAAAAUGAACUUAGUUUUAACGUGCUCGACUGAACUAAACAAGAAAAUGAAUCACACUAAAAGAAAAGAAAAGAAGGAAACUUACGGAUUUUUACUCCAGACUCGAUUGGCCCUCAAAUUUGGCCUAAGCUAAUGAUAUAUAUUUAUUUCAUAUGAAAUAAACAUAAAACGUUAGCUUAAAACCAAAUGGACGCCGGAUUCUUCAAAAUGGCUCCAAAACAGACCCAACUUCCACGAAAUACAAAUUUGAAAUCCGUUCAAUUCCACUUGGAUUCGAGGGAUUUUGGUUAAAGAUUAAGGGUGAGGGAGGUUAGGGGAUUAUGGGGUGUGAUUUUGAACCGAUUUGGAUGAAUUUGUAUAUUGACCUAGAUUUCAAAUCAAGAUUUGAACAAUUGAGUUACGAUUCGAAGGCAAUUUGGAUGAAUUGGUAUUUUGACCUAGGUUUUCAAAUUAAUAUUCGAACAGUUGAGUUAGGAUUCAAAGGAAACAGUUGUCAUGGUUGUAAAGAGGAGGUUGAAGAGACUGGGUGGUGUUAGUUUGGUCGAGUUUGGCGGUGGCGCCGCCGGGUUUUAGGGUGAGGGAUAUGGCGGCGGCGUCUCUAGGGCUUCUUAGAGAGGGAGGGGUGAAGGAGACGAUAAGAAGUGGGGG
rnacentral:lncRNA from 1 species